rnacentral:lncRNA from 1 species
AGGACAACGUAUAGCCCCAUAAGAGUUUACAGAUGCCAAAAAGGCCCAAAAGUCCAUUAAACAACCGCUUAGAAUAAAAGAGAUUUUGACAUUGGACUCAAUCCAAACCCUCGUGUCAUCUAGUGGACAUAGCCACAACACGUGUAGGAUGAGUAAACAGAAGUUUUCCGAUAUCAACUUUCGCCGUGAGCAUCGUUCCGGUGAGAAAUUGUCGUCAAGAUACAUCAAACGAAAUUUCUGGUUAUCACCGAAUCCAAACGAAACUCCAUGAUAAUCUAACAGCUUAAGGAAAUCAGAAUAUGCAUCGGAAGAUUCUUCGAUUCUUUAAUCUAAAACGUCAUCUCCAAAUAGAUUUCUGCAAACUCAUAUUUUCAAUGGAAACAAGCAGGAGAAUAAUAAUUUUAAGUAACAGAGCACCUAAAAUUUUCCACCAAACCAGAUCCAUGGAUAUUAUUGAAAGAAAAACAACAACAAAACUAAAGAGAUCGGAAGACGAAACCCGAUCUACGGCGGGGUGAAAACGCAAAGCCGGCCAACGUCGCUAGAUGAGUCGAUCGCUGCCAGACAUAAGCCAACCAUCUCCAUAAACGAUUGAGAAGAUGCUGGACAUGGGUAGUCACCGGAAAAAUCCGGCCGACUAAAGCAAGAAAAGUUUCAGCUUUCUCUCUCUAAAUGAUGCGAGAGAGAGAAGAGAGAGAAAAGCGAGUGAGCAUGUCUUGCUUUAGUU